UACGAAGGGGGCUAGCGUUGCUCGGAAUUACUGGGCGUAAAGCGCACGUAGGCGGAUUGUUAAGUCGGGGUGAAAUCCUGGAGCUCAACUCCAGAACUGCCUUCGAUACUGGCGAUCUCGAGUUCGGGAGGGUGAGUGGAACUGCGAGUGUAGAGGUGAAAUUCGUAGAUAUUCGCAAGAACACCAGUGGCGAAGGCGGCUUACUGGUCCGGUUCUGACGCUGAGGCGCGAAAGCGUGGGAGCAAACAGG
rnacentral:rRNA from 1 species